AUUGAACGCUGGCGGCAGGCUUAACACAUGCAAGUCGAGCGGGGUGAUGGUGCUUGCACUAUCACUUAGCGGCGGACGGGUGAGUAAUGCUUAGGAAUCUGCCUAUUAGUGGGGGACAACAUCUCGAAAGGGAUGCUAAUACCGCAUACGUCCUACGGGAGAAAGCAGGGGAUCACUUGUGACCUUGCGCUAAUAGAUGAGCCUAAGUCGGAUUAGCUAGUUGGUGGGGUAAAGGCCUACCAAGGCGACGAUCUGUAGCGGGUCUGAGAGGAUGAUCCGCCACACUGGGACUGAGACACGGCCCAGAGUCCUACGGGAGGAAGCAGUGGGGAAUAUUGGACAAUGGGGGGAACCCUGAGCCAGCCAUGCCGCGUGUGUGAAGAAGGCCUUAUGGUUGUAAAGCACGUUAAGCGAGGAGGAGGCUCUUUUGGUUAAUACCCAAGAUGAGUGGACGUUACUCGCAGAAUAAGCACCGGCUAACUCUGUGCCAGCCGCCGCCGUAA
rnacentral:rRNA from 1 species